UAUAUAGAAAACUGGGAAGUGUUAUGCAUGUACAAACUAUUGUAUUUGCUGUCGAAUGUAAAACAUUAAUUCCCCAAAAAAUAAAUUAAAAAAAAUAAUAAAUAAAAUAAAUAAGGUGUCGGGCAGUAGCGCAGUGGGUUAAGCGCACAUGGCACAAAGCACUAGGACCAGCAUAGGGAUCCCUGUUCAAGCCCCCUGCUCCCCAUCUGCAGGGGGUCGCUUCACAAGCAGUGAAGUAAGUCUGCAAGUAUUUAUCUUUCUUUUUUUUUAAAGAAUUUAUUUAUUCAUGAGAAAGAGGAGAGAAAGAACCAGACAUCAAUCUGGUACAUGUACUGCUGGGGAUCAAACUCGAGACCUCAUGAUUGAGAAUCCAGUGCUUUAUCCACUGCACCACCUCCCCGACCACGUGUCGAUCUUUCUCUCCCUUUCUCUGUCUUCCCUUCCUCUCUGUCCUAUCCAACAGCAAUAAUAAUAACAACAGCAAUGACAAUAAACAACAAGGGCAACACAGGGGGGGAAAGUUCAUGAAUGUGUACUUUUAAAAGAUAAAUAUAAAAAAUUCAUUAUUAAAAAAAAAAGUUUAACAGGCAGUUACAAUGCCUGGAAAUGUGUGCAAGCAGGAAAUGGUCCCAGGAGAGCAUUAGUAAGGCGAUCUAGCUCAACCUAGAGGCUUUCUGGAAGAAAGAGUAUAGACUAUCUUGAAAGAUAAAUGGGGUUAGUCGAGCGUCGGAACUGCCUGUGCUGAGGAGAAGAAUGGCCUGGCCUCUGGGAAAAGUUGAAAUUGAUUCAGGUUGGCUGAGCAGAUGCUUGUGUUGUUUAAGAGAGAAAAAAGACAAUAUCAAGGUCAAGCCCAAGUAUCCUAGCAGCUUCAGUAAGACAGUGGGGUGGAAGCAUUGGCGGUGACACAGAGAUCUUCAUAUUCUAGCAGAAAUCCAUAUAGUGGCAGGGGCCAGUCUAUAGGAUGGGAAGUGGAGGGGGAUGUUUCUACACAGGUGGGAUGUGCUGGCAGCACUGACCAAGAUGGCAGCAGAUAUAUGAAGAAGUCAGAAUCAACAUCUCAAAGAUGAGAAAGAAGGCUAAUGAAAUAACUCCAUCGACUAGUGCACUGCUUUGCCCUGUGUGUGCAACCCAGGUUUGAGCCCAGGCCCCAUGACAGUGAAGGAAGCUUUGGUGCUGUGGUCUCUUUCACUCUCUUUCUUUGCCUCUGUCUGAAAAAAAGAAAAAGUAGGGGCUACACAUCCAGUUAAGCACACAUAGUACUAAGUGCAAGGGCCCAUGCAAGAAUUCAGAUUCGAGCCUGCAGCUCUCCACCUGCUUGGGGGGGGGGGGCACACGCUUCACAAGUGGUGAAGCAGAUCUACAAGUAUCUAUCUUUCUCCCUCUGUAUCUCACCCUUACCUCUCAAUUUCUUUCUGUCUUAUCCAAUAAAAUGGUGACCAUGGAGGAAAAAAAAAAAAGAAAAGAAAAAGAAAGAAAGAAGGAAAGAAAGAAAAGAAAAAGUGGAGGUCGGGCAGUAGCACAGCAGGUUAAGCUCACGUGGCGCAAAGCACAAGGACUGACUUAAGGAUCCCUGUUCGAGCCCCCAGCCCCCCACCUGCAGGGGAGUUGCCUCACAGGCGGUGAAGCAGGUCUGCAGGUGUCUUUCUCUCCCCCUUCUGUCUUUCCCUCCUCUCUCCAUUUCUCUCUGUCCUGUCCAACAACGAUGGCAUCAAUAACAACAACAGUAAAAACAACAAGGGCAACAAAAGGGAAAAUAAAUAUAAAAAAAUUAAAAAAGAAAAAGUGGUGGUCUGGGAAGAUAAUACGUUGGCUAUGCAAAACACCUUCAUGCCUGAGGCUCAAAGGUUGUAAACUCAAUCCCUGGCACUACCAUAAUCCAAAACUGAACAGUGCUCUGGCAAAGCAAGAAUAAGUAAAAGAGGAAGGAAGAGAGGGAGUAACAAGAUGGGAUUGGGUGACCGGGAAGGUGGUGCAGUGGUGGAGCUCUGAGCUUACAAACAUGAGGUCCUGAAUUAAAUCCCUGGGACUGCAUAUGCCAGAAUUCUGCUCUGGCCUCUCUCCACCCCUUGGCCCAUGAAGUAAGUAAAGUAAAUCUUAAAAAUAAAUAGUAGAACUUAAAAAAAA